rnacentral:rRNA from 1 species
UACGUAGGUGGCAGGCGUUGUCCGGAUUUACUGGGCGUAAAGGAUGCGUAGGCGGAUACUUAAGUAAGAUGUGAAAUUCCCGAGCUUAACUUGGGGGCUGCAUUUGAAACUGGGUAUCUAGAGUGCGGGAGAGGAAAGUGGAAUUCCUAGUGUAGCGGUGAAAUGCGUAGAGAUUAGGAAGAACACCAGUGGCGAAGGCGACUUUCUGGACCGUAACUGACGCUGAGGCAUGAAAGCGUGGGGAGCAAACAGG